GAUGAAGAACGCAGCGAAAUGCGAUAAGUAAUGUGAAUUGCAGAAUUCAGUGAAUCAUCGAAUCUUUGAACGCACAUUGCGCCCCUUGGUAUUCCGAGGGGCAUGCCUGUUCGAGCGUCAUUAUCACCCCUCAAGCUUUGCUUGGUGUUGGGGCCUGCUGUAAUAGGCAGCCCUUGAAAUCAGUGGCGGUGCUUCAAGGCUCUAAGCGUAGUAAUUCUCCUCGCUAUAGUGUCUAGUGGUUGCCAGCCAGAACCCCCCAAUUUUCAUGAUUGACCUCGGAUCAGGUAGGGAUACCCGCUGAACUUAAGCAUAUCAAUAAGCGGAGGA
rnacentral:misc_RNA from 1 species